CGGGUACUCGAGGCGGCGACGGGUGAGUAACAACGGGAGUAACCUUGCCCCUGACUCUUGGGAUAAAGCCCGGGAAACCUGGGUUUAAUAACCGGAAACGACCCCUCCUGGCAUCGGGUGGGUGGUGGAAAGGUUUUUCGGUUGGGGAUGGACUCGCGGCCUAUCAGCUUGUUGGUGGGGUAACGGCCUACCAAGGCGACGACGGGUAGCCGGCUGAGAGGGCGACCGGCCACACUGGGACUGAGACACGGCCCAGACUCUACGGGAGGCAGCAGUGGGGAAUAUUGCGCAAUGGGCGAAAGCCUGACGCAGCGACGCCGCGUGGGGGAUGACGGCCUUCGGGUUGUAAACCUCUUUCAGCAGGGACGAAGGUGACGUGUACCUGCAGAAGAAGCGCCGGCUAACUACGUGCCAGCAGCCGCGGUAAUACGUAGGGCGCAAGCGUUGUCCGGAAUUAUUGGGCGUAAAGAGCUCGUAGGUGGCUUGUCACGUCGGGUGUGAAAGCUUGGGGCUUAACUCCAGGUCUGCAUUCGAUACGGGCUGGCUAGAGGUAGGUAGGGGAGAACGGAAUUCCUGGUGUAGCGGUGAAAUGCGCAGAUAUCAGGAGGAACACCGGUGGCGAAGGCGGUUCUCUGGGCCUUACCUGACGCUGAGGAGCGAAAGCGUGGGGAG
rnacentral:rRNA from 1 species